rnacentral:sRNA from 1 species
UAGAUGCGUAGGACGUAUCUGGGCGUCGA